AAUAGAUACCCGGGUAGUCCACGCCGUAAACGAUGAGUGCUAAGUGUUAGGGGGUUUUCCGCCCCUUAGUGCUGCAGCUAACGCAUUAAGCACUCCGCCUGGGGAGUACGGCCGCAAGGCUGAAACUCAAAGGAAUUGACGGGGGCCCGCACAAGCGGUGGAGCAUGUGGUUUAAUUCGAAGCAACGCGAAGAACCUUACCAGGUCUUGACAUCUCCUGACCGCCCUGGAGACAGGGUCUUCCCUUCGGGGACAGGAUGACAGGUGGUGCAUGGUUGUCGUCAGCUCGUGUCGUGAGAUGUUGGGUUAAGUCCCGCAACGAGCGCAACCCUUGUCCUUAGUUGCCAGCAUUCAGUUGGGCACUCUAAGGAGACUGCCGGCUAAAGUCGGAGGAAGUGGGGAUGACGUCAAAUCAUCAUGCCCCGUUAUGACCUGGGCUACACACGUGCUACAAUGGGCGGUACAGAGGGGUCGCGAACCCCGGCGAGGGGGGGUAGCCGAAUCCCCGAAAAAAACCCGGCUCUCAGUUCCGGAUUGCAGGCUGCAACUCG
rnacentral:rRNA from 1 species